GGCCUGCAGCUUGCUGCGGGUACUCGAGUGGCGAACGGGUGAGUAACACGUGGGUGAUCUGCCUUGCACUUCGGGAUAAGCUUGGGAAACUGGGUCUAAUACCGGAUAGGACAGCUGUUUAGUGUCAGUUGUGGAAAGUUUUUUCGGUGCAAGAUGAGCUCGCGGCCUAUCAGCUUGUUGGUGGGGUAAUGGCCUACCAAGGCGUCGACGGGUAGCCGGCCUGAGAGGGUGUACGGCCACAUUGGGACUGAGAUACGGCCCAGACUCCUACGGGAGGCAGCAGUGGGGAAUAUUGCACAAUGGGCGGAAGCCUGAUGCAGCGACGCCGCGUGGGGGAUGAAGGCCUUCGGGUUGUAAACUCCUUUCGACAGGGACGAAGCGUAAGUGACGGUACCUGUAUAAGAAGCACCGGCUAACUACGUGCCAGCAGCCGCGGUAAUACGUAGGGUGCGAGCGUUGUCCGGAAUUACUGGGCGUAAAGAGCUCGUAGGUGGUUUGUCGCGUCGUCUGUGAAAUUCCGGGGCUUAACUCCGGGCGUGCAGGCGAUACGGGCUGACUUGAGUGCUGUAGGGGAGACUGGAAUUCCUGGUGUAGCGGUGAAAUGCGCAGAUAUCAGGAGGAACACCGAUGGCGAAGGCAGGUCUCUGGGCAGUAACUGACGCUGAGGAGCGAAAGCAUGGGUAGCGAACAGGAUUAGAUACCCUGGUAGUCCAUGCCGUAAACGGUGGGCGCUAGGUGUAGGGGGCUUCCACGUCUUCUGUGCCGUAGCUAACGCAUUAAGCGCCCCGCCUGGAGAGUA
rnacentral:rRNA from 1 species